rnacentral:rRNA from 1 species
UACGGAGGGUGCAAGCGUUAUCCGGAUUCACUGGGUUUAAAGGGUGCGUAGGAGGGCAGGUAAGUCAGUGGUGAAAUCUCCAAGCUUAACUUGGAAACUGCCGUUGAUACUAUCUGUCUUGAAUAUUGUGGAGGUGAGCGGAAUAUGUCAUGUAGCGGUGAAAUGCUUAGAUAUGACAUAGAACACCAAUUGCGAAGGCAGCUCGUUACUCAAUUAUUGACUCUGAGGCACGAAAGCGUGGGGAUCAAACAGG